GCAAGGAGGAGAACAGCUCAGAAGUAAGCAAGCCAAGGUGUGCCUGGGGGUGGGCAGAGAGGGGGAUGACUCAGCCUAAGAAAUUCACCCGAGGCCUAGUGGGUGGCACACACUUCCCAAUCAGCCUGUGAGUGAGGGUUUAUACAGAGACAGACUGAAAGGUGAACGAAUCCAUGGGGCUUUGAAUCAAGGACAACUCAACUCCUUCCAAUCCUGGGCUGCCUGCCUUUGACAUUAACUUGGAACAGCACAAGACCAUGCUGGAGCAUGCUGGGGGUAAGUUUAGAAGGGAAGCCUUGGCCGGGUGUGGUGGUUCACACCUGUAAUUCCAGCACUUUGGGAGGCUGAGGCAGGAGGAUUGCUUGAGCCCAUGAGUGUGAGGCCAGCAUGGGCAAUAGAGAGAGAUCUUAUCUCUAAAAAAAAAAUUUUAAAUUAGCCACG
rnacentral:lncRNA from 1 species